UCUGACUGUGCUAAGGUAGCAUAAUAAUUUGUCCUUUAACUGGGGACUGGAAUAAAUGAGUUGACGAAGAGAAACCUGUCUUUUUCAGGUAGUUUAAAUUUUCCUUUAAGGUUAAAAGGCCUUACAAAACCAAAGGGACGACAAGACCCUAAAAACUUUAUCCCUUAUAGAAAAAUAAGAAAACUAGACCGGGGUUUUACUGGGGCGGUAAAUACAAACAAAAUUAAAUAAAACACACUGAGUGAGCUAAAAGUGCAUGACUACAUACAAAGAAUUAGUUACUUUAGGGAUAACAGCGCAAUUUUUCCAGAGAGUUCUAAUCGGCGGAAAAGAUUACGACCUCGAUGUUGAAUUGAAAUUCCUCCUGAA
rnacentral:rRNA from 1 species